AAAGGAGACGACGUUGAUGGAUUUGAAGGAGAAAGAGACGGAGACGGAGCGAACACGUCGGUGAGGAAGCAAUGGUUGUGGUCGGAAAAGAGAGACGGUGAGAAGCAAUUGUUGUUCUCAGACCUCAAAGAUGGUGUUGGUGGUGAAGAGAAAACUGAGGAAGAGAGAGAAGGAGAAAAUAGUCAUUACCCCAAAUUUACAAAUACCUAUAAACGUAAGUAUAGGUAAUGGUUCCUUUUUCCGAAGUUUUGGGCCAACAAAUGCCUAAAUUGAUAAUAUUCCCUUAAUUGUUUUGGUGAAUUACGGCUAUAAUCUGUAUAGAUGUCCUUUGCCCAUGUAUAGACUUCCUUUUUAGACACCCCACAUAACUAGACACUAGCUUGUCACUGUUAAUUUCUUUUGGAUUUUGCAAUAUCCAAAAAGGAUCCAACCUACUGAUGGGAUGUAAUAGGCCCAUCUAAAUAUAUAUAGCUUCAAAAUUAGACCAAAAAUAUAUAUAUAUAUAUAUAUAUAUAUAUAUAUAUAUUUUAUGGGGAUGUGCCUUUAAUCAAGUGGUGAAGUCCACUUGACUCCGCUUUUCUAACCAGUGUUCGACUCUACUAAGUCGCGUUACCUCGCGUAGUAAGGAUUGGCUAUGGAUCGGGCUUUGUCGAUCCAAAGAUGUAAAAAAAAAACAUAAAAAAUUUAAGUUAAAUACACAUAUUUAGAUAACUUAUUUUUUAUUUAAAAACAUCAUUUAUAUUUUGUCUUAAAAAAAUUCAACCAAUGAUAAAAAAACUUUCGUAAUAUAUAUAGUCACAAAUUGUCAAAUACAUUAAAAUAUCUAAAACAUCUAAUAUAAUGAAACAUAUGAAGUAUAUAAUAUUGUUAUAUUAUUAUACAUUUUUCUCUUGAGAAGUUUUUGGUUUUGGGAUUAAGUGUUUAAAAAUCAAGUAAAUUAGGAAGAUGUAAGGUGUACAUUGCCUAACUGGAUAACAUAAUUAGUGUAAAAAAUAUUUAUCUGAAAACAAAUUCUGCUGAGUUCCUCUACUUUGAAGUUUGUCUGAACCAAACAUAGUAAUUAGUAAAAGAAAGAAAAAAAUUAGGGAAAAUUAGAAAUAAAUGAUGUUUUAAUGGAUAAAUGUCCAUAUAUACUUUUAUAUAAAAAGUUUGGUGAAAUAGGUUUUUUAAAAAUCAAAACCCAAAUUUACCCUCAUAUUUUCGAAAAUAUAAUUAACAAAAUUUUAAAAAAAUUAUUUCCUAUUUUAUUUACAUAAUUCAGAUACCCUCAUUCUUUCGCCAGAUUGACCUGUCUUCACUAAUUUGGGUAUAACUCUUGAAUGCACCGUUAGAUUUUCUUCAAACCACUUGGAAAAUCAAGCUAACAUCUUCAUCUAGCAUGUGUCGAAAAUUCAGAAAGAUCUAACGGUUUGAAGUAUUCCAUCUGAGACCAAACGUAUGACACUUCUAAACGAAACUGCAUCUCCAAAAGUGUGUUUAUAACCCAAAACAGCUCGUUUUCCUCCAAAGCAACGUAAAACCUGUAAAGACUCGAUAAAAGACUAAGGGAAAAUUGGAAAAAAAGGAUAUCUACUUAAAAAUUUGUCCAUAUAUACCUUUUUGGUGAGAUUAUCAUUUUGGACGAAACUACCCCUACACCCUAUUUUAAACAUUUUUUUUUUAAAAUAAUCAGAAAAACAGGUAGAUAUACAAGAGUAGAGGUGAUUUGAAGUGAAAUUUUUUAGAUUUGGCUAAAAAAAAAGUUGAAUUUUUGAUAGAUAAAGUUUCAUCUAAUUUUGUUAGAACACGUUUUCUAGAGUUCUGCGAAACUCGGAAUGUGUAUUCUGCAUUUUUUUACAUCUUCAACAUAUUUUAGACUAGAUUUCUGUUCUGAAAAAUUUUAGAAGUCCAAAAAUCCUAUAUCUAAAAUAUUUAGAAUAUGCAUUUUACGUUUUGCUAUAUGUUCUAAAUAUUUUAGAAUAGCGGUUCUACUAAUUUUUAUAUCUUCUGCCAUCGUUAGAAAUUGUAAUCUUCGUUUAGAAUGUAAAUUCUACGAUAUUGUAGAUUUCAUUUUCUGAAAUUUUUAGAAUGCUCUAAAUAUAGAAAGUAAAUCUUUAAAAAAGGAAACUAAAUAUAUAUUGAGAUUACGUUUUAAAUGAAUAUUUAUUGUUUAGAUUACGAUUUACAAGAUGUAGAAGUCGUUGUCUACAUUUUUUAGACCAAAUUAAAACCUAAAAUGUUUUCUAAACCCUAAGCUAAGCCAUCGUUUGAUCUUUCUUCCUUCAAAUUGUGAUCAAAUUCUCAAAAAUCUUAUUUCUUCAAUAAGAUUGCUUGAUUGAAGAAAGUGAGAUAGUAUUUAUUAUACAUGUGUAGCAAUGUUUGUAUUGAUUGUAUAAUAUAAGAAAAACUGAUAGAAUCGAGAACAAAAAGAAAUGGUACUCCCUCUGUUUUCUAAAGAUUGAUUUUCUGAGCUUUUAUUUUGUUUUCAAAAGAUUGAUUUUUUAAAAUACAUUUAAUUGCUUUCUCUUUUUACGAAAAAGGUAAAUUAAUGACACGCAUGGAAAAAAUAAUUUAUACUAGUGCCAAAGCUUUUCUUUUUUUGGAUGCAAAACUUUUCAUUGAAUUAGAAAGAGAAAAAAAGAAUGUUGGUAGUGUUGAGAAACAAAAAAGAGUAGAUAAAUAGAUACUAAAAUUAAACAAUCAUUCUGUCUUAAUCUAUGUGCAAAAUUCAGAAAAUCAAUCUUUGGAAAACAGAAGGAGUAUAAUAGAUCAGUGAGAUGCUGGAGGAGAUUAGCUUUAAAAACUUACAGAAAUUUAAAGGCUCGCUGGAGAGAGAAGAGAAUGAAAACACACUCAUUAUUAAUUAACGUUUUCUCUUCUGUUAUGUUAAAGAAUUAAACUUUACUAAAAAAUGUAGUAUUGACUUAGUUAUUAAUAUUAGUGUUGGCUAUUACUAAUUAACGAGUUGGGACGUUGAGUAAUACAAAUCACAAAGCUUUUAACAUUUGCAAUUAAAAUUUGAGUGAAACGACGUUAUUAUUAGAAUAUAUAAUCAAGAAAUUCUUAACUUUCUUUCUAGCCUAAACAUCAAUUAUCCCAUCUAAAAAAAAAGAUAAGUUGUUUGAUUAUAAUGAUGACUGUAAAAUAGAUGUCGUUUGAUUAUAAUGAUGACAAUUAAAAAACCAUACAAACACAAAACAAAAUUAUAUAAAUAGAUGUCGCUAAGCUCAAUUAGGAAGUUUUAUUUUUUAAUUAAUUUUGAGAGCAAAUGAGGGUAAACUUGGGUUUUGAAAUUUAUAAAACAUAUUUGACCAAUCUACAAAAUUAAGGUAUAUAUGGACAAAUUUUUAAGUAGAUAUCCUUUUUUUCCAAUUUUCCCAAAGACUAAAAUACUCUAAAAACACACUUUGACUCUAUAAAACAUAUGAUGUAGGAAAAAAAACAAAGACUCAAAACCGAUAAAAACACAACAUAUCAACUUCCCUCAUCGAUAAACAAUAAACUAAAUGAAAAUUCCUACUUGGUAGGUUGAGACUAUGGUUCUUACGUUUCUUUUUAAAUUAUGUUAAAUUGGUCUUGGAACUUAUGUUGUAUAUACUUAAUUUAGUGAUAAGUCAAUCCGAAACUCAAAGCAAAACCACGAACAUAAGAGUAGUAGGGAUUCCAAUUAUGAGAACAAAAAUUCAAACAUAGAGUACUAGGAAAUUCAAAUCUGAAAUAAAAAAUGCGAAAAUAAUCAUGAAAUGAGAAAGAAGUUCAAAAUCCAUAUAGUGGUAACUAGAAACGUUCAAUGAGAGCAGUUGCAACAUAAUCCUGAAAAAGAUAAAGAAAACAAUUAUCAAAACAAAAUAUAAAAGUAGGGAAUCUAUACUUAAGUUUUAAACUAGUAGUCAGAUCACGAUCACAAACCUUUUAUUGCUACAUCACAUGUUACUCGAUUAUGACCUUCUUUACCACAACGGCCGCACUUAUGCUUUUUUGAUAAUUGUUACUGUUGUGAUGCUUUUAUCUUGUCUUCAGCUGAUUCAUAUCUUCGUUUUCUUCAUCUACCAAGUUGUCUUCUUGUUUCAGGUGGUAAAACUUUUGCAGUUUCAACAACCUCUGGGACGCGCCAUUCAUCUUCAGGAACACCUAUUGGAUUAAUAGUUUUCUCAUAUAAUGAUCUCCAAGUGGCAGCUGUAUACAUAUCAUCAGCAUAUGGGUAUAUACCAAAUGACAAAACGUGGCACAGAACGGGGGAAAACAAUGACAAAUCUACCAAAUUAGUCUAACCUUUCAACGUGGACUUAAAAGGAAGAGGUGAAAGAAGAAGACUUUGACGAUUAGGGCUAAAAAACGAUUUCACCCUCUAGAUUUUCGUUUUUAAUUUUUUUUUUCAUCUGAAAAUAUUAGAAUACGUAUUCUAACCAUCCUCAUAUCGUAAUCUAAACAAUAAAAACGUAA
rnacentral:lncRNA from 1 species